rnacentral:tRNA from 1 species
GGACACAUAGCUCAGUUGGUUAGAGCACUUGCUUCACAUGUAAGAAGUCGGGGGUUCGAGUCCCUCUGUGUCUACCA